GAUGAAGAACGUAGCGAAAUGCGAUAAGUAGUGUGAAUUGCAGAAUUCAGUGAAUCAUCGAAUCUUUGAACGCACAUUGCGCCCCUUGGUAUCCCGAGGGGCAUGCCUGUUCGAGCGUCAUUUCACCACUCAAGCCUGGCUUGGUGUUGGGCGACGUCCUCUUUGGGGACGCGCCUCGAAACGCUCGGCGGCGUGGCACCGGCUUUAAGCGUAGCAGAAUCUUUCGCUUUGGAAGUCGGGGCCCCGUCUGCCGGAAGACCUGCUCGCAAGGUUGACCUCGGAUCAGGCAGGGAUACCCGCUGAACUUAAGCAUAUCAAUAACGAGA
rnacentral:misc_RNA from 1 species